UACAGAGGGUGCGAACGUUGUUCGGAAUUACUGGGCAUAAAGCGCGCGUAGGCGGCUCUUCAAGUCGAGUGUGGAAGCUCCAGGCUUAAUCUGGGAAUUGCGCUCGAUACUGUUGAGCUAGAGUGUGGAAGGGGCUACUGGAAUUCCGUGUGUAGCGGUGAAAUGCGUAGAUAUAACGGAGGAACACCAGCGGCGAAGGCGGGUAGCUGGGC
rnacentral:rRNA from 1 species